rnacentral:rRNA from 1 species
ACGGGUGAGUAACACGUGAGUAACCUGCCCUUGACUCUGGGAUAAGCCUGGGAAACUGGGUCUAAUACCGGAUAUGACUCCUCAUCGCAUGGUGGGGGAUGGAAAGCUUUUGUGGUUUUGGAUGGACUCGCGGCCUAUCAGCUUGUUGGUGGGGUAAUGGCCUACCAAGGCGACGACGGGUAGCCGGCCUGAGAGGGUGACCGGCCACACUGGGACUGAGACACGGCCCAGACUCCUACGGGAGGCAGCAGUGGGGAAUAUUGCACAAUGGGCGCAAGCCUGAUGCAGCGACGCCGCGUGAGGGAUGACGGCCUUCGGGUUGUAAACCUCUUUCAGUAGGGAGGAAGCGUAAGUGACGGUACCUGCAGAAGAAGCGCCGGCUAACUACGUGCCAGCAGCCGCGGUAAUACGUAGGGCGCAAGCGUUAUCCGGAAUUAUUGGGCGUAAAGAGCUCGUAGGCGGUUUGUCGCGUCUGCUGUGAAAGACCGGGGCUCAACUCCGGUUCUGCAGUGGGUACGGGCAGACUAGAGUGCAGUAGGGGAGACUGGAAUUCCUGGUGUAGCGGUGAAAUGCGCAGA